rnacentral:rRNA from 1 species
UGGGGAAUAUUGCACAAUGGGCGGAAGCUUGAUGCAGCGACGCCGCGUGGGGGAUGAAGGCCUUCGGGUUGUAAACUCCUUUCGACAGGGACGAAGCUUUUGUGACGGUACCUGUAUAAGAAGCACCGGCUAACUACGUGCCAGCAGCCGAGGUAAUACGUAGGGUGCGAGCGUUGUCCGGAAUUACUGGGCGUAAAGAGCUCGUAGGUGGUUUGUCGCGUCGUCUGUGAAAUUCCGGGGCUUAACUCCGGGCGUGCAGGCGAUACGGGCUGACUUGAGUGCUGUAGGGGAGACUGGGAUUCCUGGUGUAGCGGUGAAAUGCGCAGAUAUCAGGAGGAACACCGAUGGCGAAGGCAGGUCUCUGGGCAGUAACUGACGCUGAGGAGCGAAAGCAUGGGUAGCGAACAGG